rnacentral:rRNA from 1 species
AAUUGGCGGAGGCUAACAAUGCAAGUCGAGCGGUAGCACAGAGAGCUUGCUCUCGGGUGACGAGCGGCGGACGGGUGAGUAAUGUCUGGGAAACUGCCUGAUGGAGGGGGAUAACUACUGGAAACGGUAGCUAAUACCGCAUAACGUCGCAAGACCAAAGUGGGGGACCUUCGGGCCUCAUGCCAUCAGAUGUGCCCAGAUGGGAUUAGCUGGUAGGUGGGGUAACGGCUCACCUAGGCGACGAUCCCUAGCUGGUCUGAGAGGAUGACCAGCCACACUGGAACUGAGACACGGUCCAGACUCCUACGGGAGGCAGCAGUGGGGAAUAUUGCACAAUGGGCGCAAGCCUGAUGCAGCCAUGCCGCGUGUGUGAAGAAGGCCUUCGGGUUGUAAAGCACUUUCAGCGGGGAGGAAGGCGGUGAGGUUAAUAACCUCAUCGAUUGACGUUACCCGCAGAAGAAGCACCGGCUAACUCCGUGCCAGCAGCCGCGGUAAUACGGAGGGUGCAAGCGUUAAUCGGAAUUACUGGGCGUAAAGCGCACGCAGGCGGUCUGUCAAGUCGGAUGUGAAAUCCCCGGGCUCAACCUGGGAACUGCAUUCGAAACUGGCAGGCUAGAGUCUUGUAGAGGGGGGUAGAAUUCCAGGUGUAGCGGUGAAAUGCGUAGAGAUCUGGAGGAAUACCGGUGGCGAAGGCGGCCCCCUGGACAAAGACUGACGCUCAGGUGCGAAAGCGUGGGGAGCAAACAGGAUUAGAUACCCUGGUAGUCCACGCUGUAAACGAUGUCGAUUUGGAGGUUGUGCCCUUGAGGCGUGGCUUCCGGAGCUAACGCGUUAAAUCGACCGCCUGGGGAGUACGGCCGCAAGGUUAAAACUCAAAUGAAUUGACGGGGGCCCGCACAAGCGGUGGAGCAUGUGGUUUAAUUCGAUGCAACGCGAAGAACCUUACCUGGUCUUGACAUCCACAGAACUUUCCAGAGAUGGUUUGGUGCCUUCGGGAACUGUGAGACAGGUGCUGCAUGGCUGUCGUCAGCUCGUGUUGUGAAAUGUUGGGUUAAGUCCCGCAACGAGCGCAACCCUUAUCCUUUGUUGCCAGCGGUUAGGCCGGGAACUCAAAGGAGACUGCCAGUGAUAAACUGGAGGAAGGUGGGGAUGACGUCAAGUCAUCAUGGCCCUUACGACCAGGGCUACACACGUGCUACAAUGGCAUAUACAAAGAGAAGCGACCUCGCGAGAGCAAGCGGACCUCAUAAAGUAUGUCGUAGUCCGGAUUGGAGUCUGCAACUCGACUCCAUGAAGUCGGAAUCGCUAGUAAUCGUAGAUCAGAAUGCUACGGUGAAUACGUUCCCGGGCCUUGUACACACCGCCCGUCACACCAUGGGAGUGGGUUGCAAAAGAAGUAGGUAGCUUAACCUUCGGGAGGGCGCUACCACCUUGGAUUCGUGU